rnacentral:rRNA from 1 species
GGGUCAGUAGGUUGGUCGUGCCACCGGUACGUACUGGUCUCACUGAUUCCUCCUUCCUGAAGAACCGUAAUGCCAUUAAUUUGGUGUUGCGGGGAAACAGGAAUGUUACUUUGAAAAAAUUAGAGUGUUUAAAGCAAGCUAACGCUUGAAUACAUUAGCAUGGAAUAAUGAAAUAGGACGAUCGAUCCUAUUUUGUUGGUUUCUUGGAUUGACGUA